CGGUUAAACCAAUAGAUUAAAUUAUAUAUUUGGGUAAAAAGACAGUUAGGCUCAAGAUAUAAAGUUUGUUGACUGCCUAUAAAAAAGUAAAAUUUGAAUAUAGACAACUAUUUUUAUACUAACUAAUUAAAGCCGAAUCUGUGAAAAUCGUGAGGGAAACUGGGAUUAGAUACCCCAUUAUUCAUGAUUGUAAAUCAAAUUGAAUUUACCAGAGUACUAUGAAUCUCAAAAAUUUAAAACUCAAAGGGCUUGGCGGUGUUCUAGACCCAUCAGGGGAACCUGUCUCGUAAUCGACAAUCCACGCUGUACCUAACCCUAAUUAGUAUCGCAGUCUGUAUACCGUCGUCGUCAGGUAACUUUUAAGAAAUCAGAAGUUAGCAAUAUUAAUAUUUAAAGUUGGCACGUCAGAUCAAGGUGCAGCUUAUAUUAGGGAGAAGAUGGGUUACAAUUAUUAAAGUUAUAAUACGAAAAAUUUGCUGAAAUUGCUAAUUAGAAGGCGGACUUGAAAGUAAAUACUGUUGAUAAAAACAGCUUGAAUAAGGCUCUG
rnacentral:rRNA from 1 species